AAGCUCGUAGUUGGAUCUAGGGACGCGCAUUUCAACGCCCGUGCCGUCGGGUCAAACCGGCGGCUGCGUUGGCGUUGCGGGCUCGGUCCGUCGGUGCCCCACAAAGGGCUAUCGGCGUGUCAACCGGCCCGCCCGUCCCCUCCUUCUGGAUUCCCGUUCCUGCUAUUGAGUUAGUGGGGACGUCACAGGGGGCUCAUCGUCGUCGUGCAAACGGCGGCGGUGGGUCCCUGGGGCCCAGAUCGUUUACCGUGAAAAAAUUAUAGUGUUCAAAGCAGGCAGAUCCAAUUUUCUGCCACCGAAUACAUUAGCAUGGGAUAAUGGAAUAGGACCCUGUCCUCCUAUUUUCAGUUGGUUUUGGCAGCGCGAGGACUAGGGUAAUGAUUAAUAGGGAUAGUUGGGGGCAUUAAUAUUUAAUUGUCAGAGGUGAAAUUCUUGGAUUUAUGAAAGAUUAACUUCUGCGAAAGCAUCUGCCAAGGAUGUUUUCAUUAAUCAAGAUCGAAAGUUAGGGGAUCGAAGACGAUCAGAUACCGUCGUAGUCUUAACCAUAAACGAUGCCGACCAGCGAUUUGGAGACGUUGAAUACAAAACACCACCAUCGGUGCGGUCGUCAUUGGCGUCGGUCUUUAGGGGCCGGCGCGGGGACGGCUUAGCCCGGUGGCACCGGUUAAAGACUCCCCUAGCAGCUUGUGAGAAAUCAUAAGUCUUUGGGUUCCGGGGGGAGUAUGGUCGCAAGGCUGAAACU
rnacentral:rRNA from 3 species